UACGAAGGGGGCUAGCGUUGCUCGGAAUUAUUGGGCGUAAAGCGCGUGUAGGCGGUUUGUUAAGUCGGUUGUGAAAUCCCAUGGCUCAACCAUGGAAGUGCUGCCGAAACUGGCGAACUAGAGUCCCGACGAGGAUGGCGGAAUUCCCAGUGUAGAGGUGAAAUUCGUAGAUAUUGGGAGGAACACCGGUGGCGAAGGCGGCCAUCUGGGAGGGUACUGACGCUCAGACGCGAAAGCGUGGGUAGCAAACAGG
rnacentral:rRNA from 1 species